UCAAGGCUUUGCACUUCUACGGACAAGAAGGGAUCAACGAAUUUGAGCAGAAAAUUCUAUCAGAGCUUGACCGCCUUAACAAAAAGAUAGAAUCGUUUGGUGGCAAAGAAUUUGAUGUUCUUUCACUUAUACAACGAUCACUGACUAAUGUUAUUUCAGUGUUGCUCAGUGGAGAAAUCGUUCCCGAUGAUGAUAAAGAUGUGAACAUGUUCUGGGAGUAUGUGGAUAGUUUCAGCUAUUUUCUCAACCCGACUGUCAAUGCUAUCCUCUCCGCUUUCCUUAUCUUUAGAUAUGCUCCUGGGUUUCGAUAUCAUUUCAAACGUAUGUCUGACUCAAAGGAUAAACUUAUAAAUAGAUUCUUCACCAAAGGGAAGACAAUUAGAAAAGAUGGACCAACGUGCCUUGUGGACAGUUUGUUGGAGGAGCAGAAGAUGUCUAUAGAAGAAGGGCGUGAGGUCAUUUUUACGGAUGAUAGAAUAAAAUGUGCUAUUUUGGAAACCGUUGUCGCAGGUAUUGUGACAACGUGGUCCGUUUUAACCAGUACCGUCUUUGGUCAAUAAUCCUGAAUAUCAAGAAACGCUGUUUAAGGAGAUUGAGGAACACAUUGGCAGAGACCGUCAACCAACUCUAGCGGACAAGAUAAAUUGUCCAAAUCUUGAGGCUUUAGAACUUGAAGUUCACAGAUUGAUCACGGUGGUACCAACAUUUGCAGGCCGCAUUUGUACGCGAGAUAUUAAUCUUGAUGGUUACAACAUACCAAAAGGAACAAUGAUCAUGGCAAACACAUGGCGUGUCCACCACGAUAGCAAAGUAUGGGGAGACCCGUGGAACUUCCGCCCUGAACGGUUUUUAGAUGCUGAUGGAAAUCUUCUCCCAAGGGAUAAUAUUGUCUGGAAAAACUGGAUUCCAUUUGCUGUGGGCCGGAGACAAUGUCUGGGAGAGCAGUUUGCCAGGUCCAGAUAUUUCCUGUAUAUGUCAUCACUGUUGGGAAAGUGGAAAUUUGUAGGCUCCCCUGGAAAAUUUGGACCAUGCGAUGCAAGAAAUCUGGAAAACUUUGACACUACCUUGACAAUUAGGUCUAAACCAUUUUUCUGUACAGCAGAGAAAAGAUGAAAGUCUUGAAUAUUCUUAUGAACGGUCAUUGGAGAGAAAACAAGAAUAAGAUAGACAUAUUUUUCUCAUAAUUAAUACGUAGCUUUAACACCUGUUUAAAUAAUUAGCUCAUAGGACGACUAACUAUACAAAAAUGCAUCAUACUGGAAUGAUUGACAGGGUAUCGUGUUUGAUAGCUGUAUAUCAUGUGUCUUGGUAGAUUUAUUUUCAAAUAAUUUUCACAUGUUCGAAACUAAAUGCAAUCGUUUCCCUGCAAUGAUUUACAUCUCCCUUUGUGUCCGUUGACCAUCACACAAUUGCUGAAGCUUAUCGCCUUUUGUGAUUGAAUGCAAUCAGCUCGUAUCGUUUUUCUGUUCUCUUGUAUAAUGGUAGAGUUUACCCUAUCGUUUCUUCUGUUAUGCUGUAUAAUGGUAGUGUUUACCUUAUCCGUUUCUCUUAUUGGUAUUAUUUACCUUAUAUAUGUUUGCUUGAUAUCUUGUAUAAUGGUUUGAAUUAUUAAUUGUUAUAAUACUUACUGUUUGAUGAUGAGGUCAAUAUCCAAGAUUAUG
rnacentral:lncRNA from 1 species